rnacentral:rRNA from 1 species
GAUGAACGCUGGCGGCGUGCCUAAUACAUGCAAGUCGAGCGAACGGACGAGAAGCUUGCUUCUCUACGGUUAGCGGCUGACGGGUGAGUGAGACGUAGAUAACCUACCUAUAUGUCGUGGAGAAUUACGGGGAACCGCAUCCACUAACACAGAAUAUGUUGUACCGGAUAGUUCAAAAGUUCAAGAGGGUGUUCGCGUCUCUAUGAGCUGAAGUCGCGCUGCAUUAGCGAGUUGGUAAGGUAACGGCCUACCAAGGCGACGAUGCAUAGCCGACCUGAGAGGGUGAUCGGCCACACUGGAACUGAGACACGGUCCAGACUCCUACGGGAGGCAGCAGUAGGGAAUCUUCCGCAAUGGGCGAAAGCCUGACGGAGCAACGCCGCGUGAGUGAUGAAGGUCUUCGGAUCGUAAAACUCUGUUAUUAGGGAAGAACAGAUGUGUAAGUAACUGUGCACAUCUUGACGGUACCUAAUCAGAAAGCCACGGCUAACUACGUG